UUUCUUUAUUAAAGGCAAAACAUUUAUUCUCCCUUUUUUUUUAAUAAUCAAACCCAUUCUCUCUCCCUUUAUUAAAGUUCUCGAUUUUCUCUCUAUCUAUAAAGAAAGGAACACUCUCUCUCUUAAUACACAAGAAACACACGCUGCAACAUCUCUCUUUCUCUAUUCUUGCAACAAUCGGUUCUCUCCCUCAAAAUCAAGAAAAGAAAUCGCUGGUCACAUCUCUCUCUCUCGCUCGAUUCUGGCGUUGUGCCGCCGUGCCGCUCCGCCUGCAAUUGCCCGCUGAAGUCGUCGUUGGAGCUGCUGCUGCUUCGCCGGGAGUCGAACUGUCGCCGCCUGGAACUGCUGCUGCUCGCCCGGAGUCCGCCGACUGCUGCUGUUCGUCGAGUCGGCGAGAGAUGGCAGAACAGCUGCUGCCGCCGACAGAGGCCAUCUCGCCGUUUGGAGCCGCCACCAUCGGCUGCCGCUGCCUCGCCCAAAGCCGACUCCCGGAGUUGCCGUUCGUCGUAGCGAAGGUCUCGGCAGUUCGUCAUUGCCUCCCUCCCGUUUUAUCUCUCUUCGAUAGGCGAAUUGCUGCGACAAUGGAAUUUAUGAAUGUGGAAUUUUUGUGAGUGAAAAUCGGCUGCGCCUGAACAAAUAAGAUUUGCUGCGGCUGUAUCUGUAUCUUUGAAAAAAAAUGAGAUUUGCUGUUGAAAA